rnacentral:lncRNA from 10 species
AUUUGGGCUGGAGUCUGUCAUAAGUGAUGUUGUGUGCUUCAUAUUUCAUUAAUGAUUAGAGAUUGUUCAUUGGAUUCAGGUGGUGACAUUCUGAUUAUUCUUUUGCCAGGUAAAGUCAUAUUUCCUUUGCCCUAUGUGACUGUCCAGUCUCCUACAUGGUUUUUUCACCCAUUGAUAAUCCUGGCUGGAGUCAAUAAUUUCUUUAGAGUUUGUGGAAUGAGGAUUUUCUAAUUCUAUUAUUCUUGCUAUGUUAUAAAUUGGCACUUACAAUUUUUUUGCCUAGUAAUCCACUGUGUAUACAUACCCCAUUUUCUUUGUCCGUUCAUCUGUGGAUGGACACUUAGGUUUCCUCCAAAUCUUGGCUGUUGUGAAUGGUGCUGCAGUAAACAUGGGAGUGCAGAUAUCUCUUUGACAUACUGUUUUCCUUUCUUUUCGGUACACACCUAGUACUGGAUACUUCAGUUGUCUUAAAGGAUAAGCUUGGAUGGAUGGUUGCCAAAUAGACUAAACUUGUUCUGUCCUGUUCUUGGAUUUAAACUUUAUCAUUGAAUAUGGCAUAGUAGCCUUAAGACAUAAUACUGCCACCGAUUUCACUUCUCUCUAGAGAUUUUUGCUCUUCAGAAUUCAGUAAACCAAGACUCAUGCUGGAUUA